ACAAGUCCACCCAACCAAAAACCCUUCUCACUUUCCAGAGUCCCGAUCAUCCCAAAAUCCCCAUUCCACCACCACACGCGCCACCACAAAAAAAGAUGCCCACCACCGGCGCCGCCGCCACAACCUCCAUUUCCACCACCUCACUAACCACCCACUUAGCCCUUCUAACCAUCUUCUCCGCCACCACUCUAUACUGUCUCUACAAAUCACGCCGCCCAAAACCACCACCACCAUCAUCAAACCCUAACAACAAGCCCAAAAUCUUUUUCAUAUCACAAACCAACACUUCAAAAACCUUGGCCCAUAAUCUUUACAACAAGCUAACAAACACCCAUAACUUUGUUUUUGACUUAGUUGACCCAAAUCAUUAUGACCCCGAAGACUUACAAAACGAAAGUUUGGUCAUUUUUGUCGUGUCGACUUGGGAAGGCGGAAACCCGCCUUCGAAUGGUGAGUUUUUGUUUAAUUGGUUGAAUGAAAGUGCUGAGGAUUUUAGAGUUGGGUCAUUGUUGUUGAAUAAAUGUAGGUUUUGUGUUUUUGGUGUUGGGAGUAAAAUGUAUGGUGAGGAAAUGUAUAAUGUAGUUGGGAAAAGCGUAUCGAGGGCGAUGAAAGCGCUUGGGGCGGUUGAGGUUUUGCCGUUUUGUGAUGGGGAUGUUGAUGAGGGGGAUUUGGAUGAGGUUUUCGGUAGUUGGUGUAAAGACGUUGUGAGGGUUUUGAAGUCGGGCGAGAUUGAAGGGAAUGUUGGGGGGAUAAAUGGAGUGAAUGGGGAGGGGGUGAGUGAGGGAUCGGAUUAUGAGGAUGAGGACGAUGAGGAUUACGAGGAGGAGGAGGAAGAGCAAGAGGAAAAUGGGAUUGUGGAUUUGGAAGAUAUUGCGGGAAAGGCGCCUACUAAGAAAGAAAUGGGAGUGGUUAAAAGUGAUGUGAAAAAGAACGGAGUGAAGGAAAUGGUGACUCCGGUAAUUAGGGCUAGUUUGACUAAACAGGGGUAUAAGAUUAUUGGUUCGCAUAGCGGUGUUAAAAUAUGUAGGUGGACAAAAUCACAACUUAGAGGGCGUGGAGGCUGUUAUAAACAUUCCUUUUAUGGUAUCGAGAGUCACAGGUGUAUGGAGGCUACGCCAAGUUUGGCAUGUGCAAAUAAAUGUGUAUUUUGUUGGAGACAUCACACUAAUCCUGUUGGGAAAAGUUGGCAAUGGAAGAUGGAUGACCCAUUGAUGAUUGUGAAUUCUGCCAUAGAACAACAUAAGAAAAUGAUAAAGCAAAUGAAAGGAGUUCCAGGUGUUACAGCUGAACGGUUAUCAGAAGGCCUGUUGCCCAGGCAUUGUGCAUUGUCACUUGUUGGAGAGCCAAUUAUGUAUCCUGAAAUCAAUUCACUUGUAGAUGAGCUCCACCAAAGGCGAAUUUCCACUUUCCUUGUGACAAAUGCGCAGUUUCCUGAGAAGAUUGUGUCGCUAAAACCCAUCACACAGUUAUAUGUUAGCGUAGAUGCGGGAACAAAGGACAGCUUGAAGGCAAUUGACAGACCACUCUUUGGGGACUUCUGGGAACGUUUUCUUGACUCUUUGAAAGCUUUGAGGGAUAAGCAGCAGCGCACCGUGUAUCGUCUAACACUUGUUAAGGGAUGGAACACAGAGGACAUAGAAGCCUAUUCUAGUCUCUUUUCCAUUGGAAACCCUGAUUUCGUUGAAAUCAAAGGUGUUACCUAUUGUGGAACGUCUGCUACAUCAAAGUUAACAAUGGAAAACGUACCAUGGCAUGCUGACGUCAGGGCGUUUUCCGAGGCCUUAGCUGAAAAAAGCAAUGGAGAGUAUGGGGUUGCUUGUGAGCACGUGCACUCGUGUUGUGUUCUUCUGGCAAAAGUUGACAAGUUCAAGAUUGAUGGUCAGUGGCACACAUGGAUUGAUUAUGAGAAGUUCCAUGACUUGGUGGCUUCUGGAAAGUCUUUUGGCAGCAAUGAUUACAUGGCUGUUACUCCAUCUUGGGCUGUCUAUGGGGCUAAUGAAGGUGGGUUUGAUCCAGAGCAGGCUCGGUAUAAGAAAGAAAGGAAUCACAAAUCUAGCCGCUAACUCACCAGGUGAGUCUAUCAUGUGAAAGCGGCACGGAUUGGAAAAUGGGGAGGUCAGGUUUGUUCUGUUAACCUCUACAAUCAAGAGAGCUUGGAAUCUAUGUCAGUUGGCUCUCUUAUCCUCAUUUUUGUGACCAGUUUCUAAACCCCUAGUUCGAAGUGUUGGCACAAAGCUUUUUUGAAGGGUACAGUUUUGCUAGAGCUUUUAGUUUAGUCGAAAAGCUUACUUUCUAUCACUGUAUAAGGAUAAUUCUGUAGGCUA